rnacentral:rRNA from 1 species
CUGAUGGAGCGACGCCGCGUGGAGGAUGAAGGCCUUUUGGUCGUAAACUCCUGUCAUGCGAGAACAAGAAAGUGAUAGUAUCGCAAGAGGAAGAGACGGCUAACUCUGUGCCAGCAGCCGCGGUAAUACAGAGGUCUCAAGCGUUGUUCGGAUUCAUUGGGCGUAAAGGGUGCGUAGGUGGCUUGGUAAGUUGAAGGUGAAAUCUCGGAGCUCAACUCCGAAACUGCCUUCAAUACUGCCGGGCUCGAGGACUGUAGAGGAGAAUGGAAUUCACGGUGUAGCAGUGAAAUGCGUAGAUAUCGUGAGGAAGACCAGUGGCGAAGGCGAUUCUCUGGGCAGUUCCUGACACUGAGGCACGAAGGCCAGGGGAGCAAACGGGAUUAGAUACCCCGGUAGUCCUGGCAGUAAACGGUGCACGUUUGGUGUGGGAGGAUUCGACCCCUUCCGUGCCGGAGCUAACGCGUUAAACGUGCCGCCUGGGAAGUACGGUCGCAAGAUUAAAACUCAAAGAAAUUGACGGGGGCCCGCACAAGCGGUGGAGUAUGUGGCUUAAUUCGAUGCAACGCGAAGAACCUUACCUGGCCUUGACAUGUAUCGUGAAAAUCGGUGAAAGCCGGUGACUGCCCGCAAGGGUGA